GAUGAACGCUAGCGAUAGGCUUAACACAUGCAAGUCGAGGGGCAGCAUGGUCUUAGCUUGCUAAGGCUGAUGGCGACCGGCGCACGGGUGCGUAACGCGUAUGCAACUUGCCUCACAGAGGGGGAUAACCCGUCGAAAGACGGACUAAUACCGCGUACACUCUAUGUUGGGCAUCCAAUGUAGAGGAACUGAAAUUCGCUGUGAGAUAGGCAUGCGUCCCAUUAGCUAGUUGGUGAGGUAACGGCUCACCAAGGCGACGAUGGGUAGGGGAACUGAGAGGUUGAGCCCCCACACUGGUACUGGGACACGGACCAGACUCCUACGGGAGGCAGCAGUGAGGAAUAUUGAUCAAUGGGCGAGAGCCUGAACCAGCCAAGUCGCGUGAAGGAUGACUGUCUUAUGGAUGGUAAACUUCUUUUAUACGGGAAUAACAAGAGUCACGUGUGGCUCCCUGCAUGUACCGUAUGAAUAAGCAGCGGCUAACUCCGUG
rnacentral:rRNA from 1 species